rnacentral:rRNA from 1 species
UAACGAGCGCAACCCUUGCCUUAGUUACCAGCACGUUAUGGUGGGCACUCUAAGGAGACUGCCGGUGACAAACCGGAGGAAGGUGGGGAUGACGUCAAGUCAUCAUGGCCCUUACGGCCUGGGCUACACACGUGCUACAAUGGUCGGUACAAAGGGUUGCCAAGCCGCGAGGUGGAGCUAAUCCCAUAAAACCGAUCGUAGUCCGGAUCGCAGUCUGCAACUCGACUGCGUGAAGUCGGAAUCGCUAGUAAUCGUGAAUCAGAAUGUCACGGUGAAUACGUUCCCGGGCCUU